GAAGAACCUUACCUACACUUGACAUCCCGUGCAUUACUGUUAAUCGAGGAAAUCCCUUCGGGGACAAGGUGACAGGUGGUGCAUGGUUGUCGUCAGCUCGUGUCAUGAGAUGUUGGGUUAAGUCCCGCAACGAGCGCAACCCUUGUCGUUAGUUACUACCAUUAAGUUGGGGACUCUAGCGAGACUGCCUGGGUUAACCAGGAGGAAGGUGGGGAUGACGUCAAAUCAUCAUGCCCCUUAUGUGUAGGGCUCCACACGUGCUCCAAUGGCUGGUACAGAGAGAUGCAAUACCGCGAGGUGGAGCCAAACUUUAAAACCAGUCUCAGUUCGGAUUGUAGGCUGCAACUCGCCUACAUGAAGCUGGAG
rnacentral:rRNA from 1 species